rnacentral:lncRNA from 1 species
UAGAUAGAGUCGCUAUAGAAGAGAAGAAAUGAGUGAGGAGAAAGGAGAGGGAGAAAAAUUUUUUAUCGAUGAGAAUGGGUGGAUGUAGAGAGGGCCAUCUAAAAAGAUAGGGUUUAUUGAUUGGUUUGAAGGAAAAAAAGGAUGAGGAGAAAGAGAAUGAGGAAGAGGAGGAGCAGAGACGGGUUGCCAGCAAAAAAUGACGUAGAGGAGGAGGAUAAGGAAGAGAAGAGGAUGGAUAGGAAAAAAAUAGGAAAGGCAAAAAGGGAUGGAGGUGGAGGAAGCUAUCGUGGAGAGGAAUGGUUUAUAGGCGGCUUGGAGGAAGAGGAUAAAGAGGAGAAGUAGAUGGAGAUGAAGGAGAGAAAAUGGAGGAAUGGAUGGAUAAAGGGAUGGAGGAGAAACGAGGAGGGAGAAAAAGGAGGAAAGGGAGGAGG